GUUAGGAAUAUUGGACAAUGGGCGCAAGCCUGAUCCAGCCAUGCCGCGUGAGUGAUGAAGGCCUUCGGGUUGUAAAGCUCUUUAGCCGAUGAUUAUAAUGACUGUAGUCGGAAAAUAAGCCCCGGCUAACUUCGUGCCAGCAGCCGCGGUAAUACGAAGGGGGCGAGCGUUAUUCGGAAUCACUGGGCGUAAAGCGUGCGUAGGCGGCUUUGCAAGUUGGGAGUGAAAGCCCAGGGCUCAACCCUGGAAUUGCCUUUGAUACUGGCUGUCUUGAGUACGGGAGAGGUGAGUGGAACUCCGAGUGUAGAGGUGAAAUUCGUAGAUAUUCGGAAGAACACCAGUGGCGAAGGCGACUCACUGGCCCGUUACUGACGCUGAGGCGCGAAAGCGUGGGGAGCAAACAGGAUUAGAAACCCGAGUAGUCC
rnacentral:rRNA from 1 species